AACGGUCUAUACCUGCGGUACCUGCGGAAGGAUCAUUAAUGAGAAGCUGCCCCUCGUGGGUAGACCUCCCACCCUCUGUGAACUUACCUUUGUUGCUUUGGCAGGCCCGUCCUCUGGACCGCCGGCUUCGGCUGGCCCGUGCCUGCCAGAGGAUUCCAAACCCUGUCUGUCAGUGUUGUCUGAGUCUAUAUGAAAUCGUUAAAACUUUUAACAACGGAUCUCUAGAUCGGAAGAGCACAC
rnacentral:misc_RNA from 1 species